AGAGUUUGAUCAUGGCUCAGGAUGAAUGCUGGCGGUAUGGGUAAGGCAUGCAAGUCGAGGGCACCGCAAGGUGACCGGCAGACGAGGUAGUAACACGUAGGAACGUACCCCGAAGUCAGGGAUAGCUAGCCGAAAGGUUAGGUAAUACUUGAUGGUCUCGCGAGAGUAAAGAUUUAUCGCUUCGGGAGCGGCCUGCGCAAUAUCAGCUAGUUGGUAGGGUAACGGCCUACCAAGGCUACGACGUUUAGGGGAGCUGAGAGGCUGACCCCCACCGAUGGGACUGAGAUACGGCCCAUACUCCUACGGGAGGCCGCAGUCGAGAAUCUUCCGCAAUGGACGCAAGUCUGACGGAGCGAUACCGCGUGAAGGACGAAGUGCUUCGGCACGUAAACUUCUUUUGUCAGGGACGAAAUUAUUGACGGUACCUGAAGAAUAAGGGGCUCCUAACUCUGUGCCAGCAGGAGCGGUAAUACAGAGGCCCCAAGCAUUAUCCGGAAUCACUGGGCGUAAAGGGUGUCGAGGCGGUCAUGUUAGUCGCUUGUAAAAUCCGUGGGCUCAACCUACGGUCCGCAAGCGAAACGGCAUGACUCGAGGUUUGGAGAGGUGCGUGGAACUCACGGUGUAGGGGGUGAAAUCCGUUGAUAUCGUGGGGAACACCAAAGGCGAAGGCAGCGCACUGGCCAAAAUCUGACGCUCACACACGAAAGCUAGGGUAGCGAACGGGAUUAGAUACCCCGGUAGUCCUAGCCCUAAACGUUGCUCGCUCGUUCUGCGGAGUAUCGACCCUCUGCGGGACUAAGCUAACGCGGUAAGCGAGCCGCCUGGGUAGUACGGUCGCAAGCUUAAAACUCAAAGGAAUUGACGG
rnacentral:rRNA from 1 species